UACAGAGGUCCCGAGCGUUGUUCGGAUUCAUUGGGCGUAAAGCGCGCGUAGGCGGCUCGGAAAGUCGGUCGUGAAAUGCCGGGGCUCAACCCCGGGACUGCGUCCGAUACUCUCGAGCUGGAGGCAGGUAGGGGAGAUCGGAAUUCCUGGUGUAGCGGUGAAAUGCGCAGAUAUCAGGAGGAACACCGGUGGCGAAGGCGGGAUCCUGGGCCAGUACUGACGCUGAGGAGCGAAAGCGUGGGGAGCAAACAGG
rnacentral:rRNA from 1 species